rnacentral:sRNA from 1 species
AAAAUUUGAACUGUCCAAUAGGGUAAUGUCAUGUAGCAAAGUGUAAACUAAAGUGUACACCAUAGUGUACAUGUAGCAAGGUUCUUACGAAUUGAACUUUGCUAUUUGUACACUUAUUUUUGACACGCAGGGUACUGUCAAGUGGCAAAUUGUAAACUAAAGUGUACAACAUAGUGUACAUGAAGCAAGGUACAUACCGAUUGAACUUUGCUAUUUAUACACUGAUUUUUGACACAUUGUUUAAUGCGUGCAUUGUUGUCGAGUGUCAAUUGGAUGAAAAAAAUGUUUGAAAUUUAAACUAUCCAGCAGGGUAAUUUCAGGUGGCAAAGUAUAAACUAAAGUGUACACCAUUGUGUAGAUGUAGCAAGGUUCUUACCGAUUUAACUUUGCUAUUUGUACACAAAUUUUUGACACUUGCAUUGUUGUCAACUGUCAUUCGGAUGGGAAAACUGUUUGAAAUUUAAACUAUCCAAUAGGGUAAUGUGAUGUGGCAGAGUGUAAACUAAAUUGUACACCAUAAUGUACAUGCAGCAAGGUCCUUACCGAUUGAACUUUGCUAUUUGUACACUGAUUUUUGACAUGUAGUUUGACACUUGCAUUGUACUCAAGUGUCAUUUGGAUGGAAAAACUACUUGAAAUUUAAACUGUCGAACAGUGCAAUGUCGCAUGGCAAGGUGUAAACUAAAGUGUACACCAUAGUGUACAUGUAGCAAGGUUCUUACCAAUCGAACUUUGCUAUUUGUACAUCGAUUUUGGACAUGUUGUUUAACACUUGCAUUAUCGUCAAGAGUCAAUUUAAUGGGAAAACUGUUUGAAAUUUAAACAGUCAAAUAGGGUAAUGUCACGUGACAUAGUGUAAACUAUAGUGUACAUCAGAGUGUGCAUGUAGCAAAGUCCUUACCGAUUGAACUUUGUCAUUUGUACACUGAAUUUUGACACGUAGUUUGACACUUGCAUUGUUGUCAAUUGUCAUUUGGAUGGAAAAACUGUUCGAAAUUUAAACUGCCCAACAACGUAAUGUCACAUGGCAGAGUGUAAACUAAAGUGUACACCAUAGUGUACAUGUCGCAAGGUUCUUACCGAUUGAACUUUGCAUUUUAUACACUGAUUUUUGAGAAGUUGUUUGACACUUGCAUUGCUGUCAAGUGUCAUUUGGAAGAGAAAACUGUUUGAAAGUUAAACUGUCCAACAACAUAAUGUCACAUGGCAGAGUGUAAACUAAAGUGUACACCAUAGUGUACAUGUCGCAAGGUUCUUACUGAUUGAACUUUCCUAUUUGUACACUGAUUAUUGACACGUUGUUUGGCACUUGCAUUGUUGUCAAGAGUCAAUUGGUUGGGAAAACUAUUUUAAAUUUAAACUUUUUGAUAGGGUAAUGUCACGUGGCAAAGUGUAAAAUAAAGUGUACACCAUAGUGUACAUGUAGCAAGAUUCUUACCGAUUGAACUUUGCUAUUUGUACACUGAUUUUUGACAUGUAGUUUGACACUUGCAUUGUUGUCACGUAUCAUUUGGAUGGGAAAAUUUUUUGAAAUUUAGACUGUCCAAUGUGGUAAUGUCACGUGGCAGAGUGUAAAAUAAAGUGUAUACUAUGGUGUACAUGUCGCGGGGUCCUUGCCGAAUGAACUUUGCUAUUUGUAUACAGAUUUUUGAGACAUUGUUUUACACUUGCAUUGUUGUCAAGUGUCAAUUGGAUGGAAAAACUGUUUGAAAUUUAAACUGCCGAACAGGGUAAUGUCACGUCGCAAAGUGUAAACUAAGGUGUACGCCACAGUAUAUAUGAAGUAAGGUUCUUACCGAUUGAACUUUGCUAUUUUUACACUGAUUUUUUACACAUAGUUUGCCACUUGCAUUGUCGUCAAGUGUCAAUUGAGUGGGAAAAUUAUUUGAAAUUUAAACUGUCCAACAAGAUUAUGUCACGUGGAAAAGUGUAAACUAAAGUAUAGACCAUAGUGUACAUGUCGCAAGGUUCUUACCAAUUGAACUUUGCUAUUUGUACACUAAUUUUUGACACGUUAUUUUAGACUUGCAUUGUUGUCAAGUGUUAUUUGGA